rnacentral:tRNA from 1 species
GGCUUCGUAGUCGAGUGGCAAGGACACUUGGCUCUCACCCUGGAGUCCCGAGUUCGAUCCCUGGUGGAGGAGCUA